rnacentral:piRNA from 1 species
UCCUGCUGUCCUGGUUCUGUUA